UACGGAGGAUGCGAGCGUUAUCCGGAUUUAUUGGGUUUAAAGGGUGCGUAGGCGGGCUUUUAAGUCAGCGGUAAAAUUGAGAGGCUCAACCUCUUCCCGCCGUUGAAACUGGUGGUCUUGAGUGGAUGAGAAGUACGCGGAAUGCGUGGUGUAGCGGUGAAAUGCAUAGAUAUCACGCAGAACUCCGAUUGCGAAGGCAGCGUACCGGCAUCCAACUGACGCUGAGGCACGAAAGCGUGGGGAUCAAACAGG
rnacentral:rRNA from 1 species